AUUGAGUACACAAACUGAUAUAUCGGGGUUAACGGCCACUGUCGGGCAAGGGCUUUUUACAAAAGUAGAAAAGUUGGAAAGCCACAGAGAACUCGGGUGUUGAACCGGAAAAGGGGUUACCAGCGUAAACUGGCGACUUCCAAUAUAUAGAGAUGCACAGUAGCCGCCCCUUCUCUGCGGCUUUGCUGUGGAAGUUUCAGUUACCCUCGGUCAACCACGGUCAGAAAUGAGAAGACAGGAUGCCCGGAGUGAGGAAACUGAGCUGAAAACCUGCACGGCUCGGCCUUUUUUCCAGCCGUGUCUAAUCUAUGGGGAGAAGCGAGACUCGUUCCCGCGCCUGCACGUGCGAAGACACGCGGCUGAGGAGAAAAAGAGCGGGAACGGGGCGCAUCGCUCCGCCUCUCCGGCGCUGCGGCGUCGCCCUGGGCCCCCUGUGAGGGACGCUGAACUCCGAGGCUGCGCCACUGCCCCAGCCCGCCUUGGCCCCUCCAGGCUGCAGGGAAGGGACUUCGUGGUGCUAGGAGAGGAGGUGACAUCGCCGCUGGUGGCGUCCCCUGGUGGUGCCCAGGGCCCUGUGGCAGGAGCUUCCCGCGGACCCUCGAGGAGGGCAACGUCUGAGGCCAGGGCCUGCCCGCGCCCCUGACCCUUGCGACCCCGCCACACCCGCCUCAGGCCCCAAGGGUCGGGUCAGCGGGUCAGCCUACGCGCUGGGGACGGGGACACGCCGCACUCUGGGGCAAAGGCACCGGAAGCGAACCACUCACCAGGCUGAGGGGCUUUCCAUCACGUGCAGAGACCCCAGGUGACUUGGGAGUGGAGGGAGAGGAGGACAUUAAACUAGGGCAGAUAAGGAUGAACUCCCUCCUCCCACCUACCCCAGGUACCUGGACUACCAAGCACCAAGGGCCUAUCCUGUCCUGCUCUGCCUUGGGAUCAGAGGGAUAUGACUAUCCUGGCAACUCAGCCUGGUAGUUUAGAACCUCAUUUCUGGAUUCAGCAGGCCAUUUUACUGACCAGCAAGCUAACAGUGAGAAAUGUCCACCAAGAGCAAAAUCACACAUUUGAAUAAGCAGGAUUGAAAUUACAGUACUUGUCCUCCCUCUUAAUUUAAG